CUUGUUUCGGAUUUUAGUGGGAAGGCUUCCAGCCUUAAUGUUGAUUCUUCCAUUGAGUAUUUAAUUGGCUGUGGGUUUGGCAUAAAUGGCGAUAAAGGCAUCAUUUUAAGUAUUCUUACCUAAAUUUGUAUAUUGUUCCUCUUUUGAGGCAUGUUAGGUUUUUCAGGGUUUUUGUUAUUAUUGGAUAACACUAGCCUUGGAACAUAAACACUUGUCUACAUCUUGCAUUGUUUCUUAGGGAUAGAUUAUCAAAAGUGGAGAAUUACUAGGUCAAGGAAUACAGCAGUGUGAGGCUUUUGGAGUAAAGCAGAAUUGCUUUAAAAAGUGCUUAUAUCCAUCCGGUCCCUCUGUAGCCAUACUUAGAGCAAUAUCCUCUCGCAUUGCACAAAGAUUUAAUAAUGCCAAGGAUUUAAUGUCAUGUCCUUGUAAUGCAUUAUGUCUUUUGUCACUUUUUCUUACCCCUCUUAUGUAAUACUUUCCCAUUUCACUUCUGCCUUGAUCGUGAUAUUGCAACUUGUCCUAGGCAUUCAGUCAAAUUUGGUAGCAGAAGCUUUGCACCGGCUUUUCUUUGCAAAUCCUUUGGUGCUGCUUUGCUUAUGCCUCCAGAUGGAUCUCGUUUAAUCAAAUCUGGGACUGUGUCUUUACAUGGGGCAAUUAUUUCGUAAUUAUGAUCUCUCUGGCCUGGCUGCUGUCAGAAUCUUUGAUGCUUCCUGUUUUUUUCAUGAUCCUUUGUCUUUUUUGACAUUUUGCCUUUUGAUGGUCUGCUUUGUUUAUAGCCUUAUGAUUUCACAGGUGAAUCAUCUAGCUGUCACUUCAGUAGGCAUUUUGGAAAGAUGCAUCGGUAACACUCUGAAUCCUGUUUUUAUACCGGCUCAUAAAAAAACAGUUUCUGUUCCCUAUUGUGAAAUUACAGCAUGUUUUGAGAUGAUUGGCUACUUUUCUGUACUUUGACAGUCUUUAUGGACCUAAUCCAAAGUCAGUCAAAUUUAACUCUCUGCGGUUCUUAUUUCCUGACCUCUGUAACCUCGAUCUUAUGUUUGUAUACAUUUACUUAUUCAUUUCCUGCCCCGCAGCACAUGGAAGUUCCCAGGCUAGGGCCUGAAUCCAAGACGCAGCUGCGACCUCCGUCACAGCGGCAACAACACCAAUCCUUAACCCACUGCGCUGGGCCGGGCAUUGAACCUGCGUCCUAGUGCUCCAGAGAUGCUGCCGAUCCUGUUGUGUCACAGCGGGACCUCCCUGAAUUUUAAUUUUCAUGAUCACCGCCCAUUUUUUUUCACAACAUCUGUAUUCUAGAAUUUUGUUCUCUGCUUCAGACCUAGACGAUUUGGGAGAAGUUCCUAGGCCUUAAAGGUGCUUCUUUUCUGGGAAACCUGGAGGGAUGUGCAGAUUUCUGAAGAUCUGUCUCUUACCUGCCUAUGAAUGACUUGUCCACGUAACGCAGAAUCCCUCCGUCUGGAAUCUGUGGAGCUGGCCUCUUGGCGGAGGCAUUGGUGGUAGUGGAGGACCAAACUGCAAAAGGUGUAUGAGGGGGGAAGCAACGUGGACCAGUUUGUGACUCGCUUCCUCUAAAGGAGACGGCCAAUCAGAUCCAGUCCCUGCUGAGCUCGGUGGAAAGCGCGGUGGAGGCCAUCGAAGAGCAGACCAGCCAGAUCCGGCAGAACCACAGCAAGCCCAGCCACAGCAUGGUGGAGGCCUGGUCUGGGAGCCGGCUCCCCCCUACACCCCCAACCACAAGUUCGUGGCCACGGAUCAGGGGAAGAACUUCCCGCCUGUCACUUCGGACCCCAAAGAGGAGGGCCUGGAAGCCCAGGUCAGCAGGUUGGCAGAGCUGAUAGGACGGCUGGAGAACAGGGUAAGCCCCCGGAGCUCCCGCCUCUGUCCUCCUGCCCGGCCCCCAGGGAGUGCAGAGUUGGGAUGGGGGACAUCCCCCAGGUAGAGGGGGGACUAAGGGGGGGCCUUGGGAACACAGGCCUGAGAGGAGGAGCUGUGAGGGGUGGGCGAGCAGCCAGGAGCAGAAUGCAGUUGGCAUGGUCCUGGGCAGCAAGGGAACAGAGCUUCAAGGGGACUUCAAGGCAGGACAGUCCUGACAGGUGGUUGAGGAGGGUUGUUGAUGUCCCCGGAGAGGUCAGAACCACCGGCCAUGUGAAGACUUUUAGAGGUGACAUGGCACGUCCACACAGGACAGAAAAUGGCACAGCCUUUGAGGAAUCUUGUUUUUGGAGACCAUUUCAUGGCUCAGCAGGUACUUGGGACCGUGUGAGUUUCCCAGGCUGCCAGAACCAUGUUUGGAGGGCUGGGGGUUCAACGCCAGCAUCUGUUCUCUCACAGAGCGAGGCUAGAAAUCUGAAAUCAAGUGGUUGGCAGGGCUGGUUUCCUCUGAGGCCCUCUCUCAUUGGCAUGCAGCAGCUGUCUUCUCCCGGUGCCGUGUGUGUCUGUGUCUUGAUCUCUUCAUAGAAGGCCACCAGUCAUAAUGGAUUAGGGCCCGCCCGUGGGACCUGAUUCUAACUUAAUCACCCCUUCAAUGGUCCUUUCUCUGUCUAUAGUCUCGUUUGUGGUACUGGGGAUUGGGACUUCAAUAGAUGGAUUUGGGGGAACCCAGCCCAUCAUCGUAACCAUUUGUUGGAAGAAAGAAAACAGCUGCCUUAAGGUUUACCUAUGGGCUCAGGUAUCCGACUGCCUGUGUUUGAAUCCUGGUUAUACCACCUAAUAGCUGUGUGACUUUAGGCCAGUGACUUACCCUCUCUGAGCCUCAGAGGCCUCCUCUAAUCAUAGAGAAAAUGAUAAGAAUAGUACCUCUCACAGGGUGAGGAUUAAAUGAUGUCUUCAUGGCUUAGCACAGAGCCUACAGCAUAGUUAGUAGUUAAUGUUAUUUAGCAGUUAUAUUAAACAUUCUGAUACCCAAACCUGUACACGUGCACAUGCCAUGCUUAUAAGUCUUCAUAAACCAAGACAGCAGGAUCUCAGGGCUGUAGGGUUAUGGUGGCAUUUUUACAUUUCUCCUACUUUUCUGAAUUUUUUACACCUUUUGCAAAAGGGCAAAAAAAAAAAAAAA
rnacentral:lncRNA from 9 species